rnacentral:rRNA from 1 species
UGGGGAAUAUUGGACAAUGGGCGCAAGCCUGAUCCAGCCAUGCCGCGUGAGUGAUGAAGGCCCUAGGGUUGUAAAGCUCUUUCACCGUUGAAGAUAAUGACGGUAACCGGAGAAGAAGCCCCGGCUAACUUCGUGCCAGCAGCCGCGGUAAUACGAAGGGGGCUAGCGUUGUUCGGAUUUACUGGGCGUAAAGCGCACGUAGGCGGACUAUUAAGUCAGGGGUGAAAUCCCGGGGCUCAACCCCGGAACUGCCUUUGAUACUGGUAGUCUUGAGUUCGAGAGAGGUGAGUGGAAUUCCGAGUGUAGAGGUGAAAUUAGUAGAUAUUCGGAGGAACACCAGUGGCGAAGGCGGCUAACUGGCUAGAUACUGACGCUGAGGUGCGAAAGCGUGGGGAGCAAACAGG